rnacentral:rRNA from 1 species
AACAAGGAUUCCCUUAGUAACUGCGAGUGAAGAGGGAAGAGCUCAAAUUUAAAAUCUGACAGUAUUGGCUGUCCGAGUUGUAAAUUAGAGAAGUGUUAUCCAAGCUAACUCUGUGCAAAAGCUUCUUGGAACAGAGCAUCAUAGAGGGUGAUAAUCCCGUCUUUGGUACAGGCUGUUGGCUGUUUGUGAUACACUCUCAAAGAGUCGAGUUGUUUGGGAAUGCAGCUCUAAAUGGGUGGUAAAUUCCAUCUAAAGCUAAAUAUUGGCAAGAGACCGAUAGCGCACAAGUACCGUGAGGGAAAGAUGAAAAGAACUUUGAAAAGAGGGUUAAACAGUACGUGAAAUUGUUGAAAGGGAAACGCUUGAAGUCAGUCAUGUUCAAAUGUAAAUCCCCUUGACCUUGGUUGAGUGAACUUUCUUUUGGACAGGUCAGCAUCAGUUUUGAUUGUUGGAAAAGGGGUCUGGAAAUGUAGCAUCUCUCGAGAUGUGUUAUAGUCUAGGCUCAUAUACAGCAGUUGGGACUGAGGAACUCAGCAUGACCAGAAAUGGUUUGGAGGUUUGCCUCACAUAACAUGCUUUGGAUGCUGGCAYAAUGGCUUUAAUCGACCCGUCUUGAAACACGGACCAAGGAGUCUAACAUACAUGCAAGUGUUUGGGUGUAAAACCCAUGCGCGAAAUGAAAGUGAAAGUUAAGAACCCUCAAGGGUGCAUUGACGCCUGGCCCUGAACAUUUUGUGACGGAGCUGCGGUAGAGCAUGCAUGUUGGGACCCGAAAGAUGGUGAACUAUGCCUGAAUAGGGUGAAGCCAGAGGAAACUCUGGUGGAAGCUCGCAGCGAUUCUGACGUGCAAAUCGAUCGUCAAUUUGGGUAUAGGGGCGAAAGACUAAUCGAACCAUCUAGUAGCUGGUUCCCGCCGAU